UGCGUAGGCGGAUUAAUAAGUCAGUGGUGAAAUCUUUCGGCUCAACCGAGAAACUGCCAUUGAUACUGUUAAUCUUGAGUUCGGUUGAGGUAGGCGGAAUGUGUAAUGUAGUGGUGAAAUGCUUAGAUAUUACACAGAACACCAAUUGCGUAGGCAGCUUACUAGACCGACACUGACGCUGAGGCACGAAAGCGUGGGGAGCGAACAGGAUUAGAUACCCUGGUAGUCC
rnacentral:rRNA from 1 species